rnacentral:rRNA from 1 species
UAAGGAAUAUUGGUCAAUGGACGCAAGUCUGAACUAGCCAUGCCGCGUGGAGGAUUAAGGCCCUCUGGGUUGUAAACUCCUUUUAUCUGGGAAGAAAUGUACUUUUUCUUGAGUACUUGACGGUACCAGAGGAAUAAGCACCGGCUAACUCCGUGCCAGCAGCCGCGGUAAUACGGAGGGUGCAAGCGUUAUCCGGAUUCACUGGGUUUAAAGGGUGCGUAGGUGGGCAGGUAAGUCAGUGGUGAAAUCUCCGGGCUUAACCCGGAAACUGCCGUUGAUACUAUUUGUCUUGAAUAUUGUGGAGGUAAGCGGAAUAUGUCAUGUAGCGGUGAAAUGCUUAGAUAUGACAUAGAACACCAAUUGCGAAGGCAGCUUACUACACAAUCAUUGACGCUGAGGCACGAAAGCGUGGGGAGCAAACA